UGGAGUGGGCGCAUGAUCGCCGGCCCGCCGCAGGCGGACUGGAGGAAAGUCCGAACUCCGCAGGGCAGGGUGGUUCGUAACGCGAACUUCGAGUGAUCGGAGGAAAGUGCCACAGAAAAUAUACCGCCCCUUUACAGGGGUAAGGGUGAAAUGGCGAGGUAAGAGCUCACCGCUUUCAUGGCGACAUGAAAGGCAUGGUAAACCCCACCUGGAGCAAGAUCAAAUAGGGAAACGUUUGAGGGCAGCCCGUCCGAAGUUUCCGGGUAGAUCGCUGGAGGUGCCGGGUGACUGGCAUCCAAGAGAAAUGAUCAUGGCCCGCUUGGCGGGAUACAGAAUUCGGCUUACAGCCCACUCCAUCUU
rnacentral:RNase_P_RNA from 1 species